AGCAGUAUUGAACUGAAGAGUUUGAUCAUGGCUCAGAUUGAACGCUGGCGGCAGGCCUAACACAUGCAAGUCGAGCGGAUGAAGGGAGCUUGCUCCUGGAUUCAGCGGCGGACGGGUGAGUAAUGCCUAGGAAUCUGCCUGGUAGUGGGGGAUAACGUCCGGAAACGGGCGCUAAUACCGCAUACGUCCUGAGGGAGAAAGUGGGGGAUC
rnacentral:rRNA from 1 species